rnacentral:rRNA from 1 species
AUUGAACGCUGGCGGCAGGCCUAACACAUGCAAGUCGAGCGGAUGAAGGGAGCUUGCUCCUGGAUUCAGCGGCGGACGGGUGAGUAAUGCCUAGGAAUCUGCCUGGUAGUGGGGGAUAACGUCCGGAAACGGGCGCUAAUACCGCAUACGUCCUGAGGGAGAAAGUGGGGGAUCUUCGGACCUCACGCUAUCAGAUGAGCCUAGGUCGGAUUAGCUAGUUGGUGGGGUAAAGGCCUACCAAGGCGAAGAUCCGUAACUGGUCUGAGAGGAUGAUCAGUCACACUGGAACUGAGACACGGUCCAGACUCCUACGGGAGGCAGCAGUGGGGAAUAUUGGACAAUGGGCGAAAGCCUGAUCCAGCCAUGCCGCGUGUGUGAAGAAGGUCUUCGGAUUGUAAAGCACUUUAAGUUGGGAGGAAGGGCAGUAAGUUAAUACCUUGCUGUUUUGACGUUACCAACAGAAUAAGCACCGGCUAACUUCGU